UGCUCUCUGGGUUCCUGAUCUAUUCAUGCAAAGAGUACAAAACAAUGAGGAUUGGUCCCUAUUUUGUCCUAAUGAAGCUCCGGGGUUGGCUGAUUGCUGGGGUGAGAAGUUUGAGGAAUUGUACAAGAAAUAUGAGAAAGCAGGCAAACCGAAAAAGGUCAUUCCAGCACAGACCCUCUGGUUUGACAUUUUGAAGGCACAGAUAGAAACUGGCAUACCUUAUAUGCUCUAUCUUAUUGUUAUGGGUUCAAGGCUACUUAAGGCAUGGGGUCAUUAACCAGCACACAAGGCAGCAUGACGGCAGCUCUCUUA